CCCAGACAAGGACUGUCCCAUAACUGUGGCAUUUUCAUAUUGAUGUAGGCUUUGUACAUCACUCUUGGUGGGCAGUUCCGACUUCUCAGAGGCUGACAUGCCAACCAUUAGGCUAUGGUGGUCUGACCUUCUGCUUGAGAACUUUCCUGCAAGGUCCAUGAUUGAGAGACAGUGUUCCAAGAAAAAACUGAAGGCAGCUCAUCACCAAAGCGGACAGACAG